CCUUGGAGUGGGGAAUAACAGCUGGAAACAGCUGCUAAUACCGCAUGAUGCAGUUGAGUCGCAUGGCUCUGACUGCCAAAGAUUUAUCGCUCUGAGAUGGACUCGCGUCUGAUUAGCUAGUUGGUGGGGCAACGGCCCACUAAGGCGACGAUCAGUAGCCGGACUGAGAGGUUGGCCGGCCACAUUGGGACUGAGACACGGCCCAGACUCCUACGGAAGGCAGCAG
rnacentral:rRNA from 1 species